rnacentral:lncRNA from 1 species
GAAUGUAUUUCUUUUUCCAUCACUUCUCGCACAUUGAAUAUUUUUUAAAAUGGACAAAAACUUGGACCGAUUCGAUAGUGCGGCUCAGGCAGUUAUCGAAACAUUCGAAUUCGAAACAUUUUAUCCAAGUCUUCGCCAAGCUGUCGAGAGGUCCGAGGACGUGAAAUUCCAUCGGGAGAGGUUAUGUCGCGAAUGGAAAUAAAGUGACAGCGGGUGGAACGACCACCGAUCAGUGAAACUUAUUCCACAUAAAAUGGAAGAUUCCGUGCACACGUUAAGAUCACGAGAAUCUAACGGAAAUCGAAAAUUCCAACUUUGAGAGUUUAAAUAUGGAAAUAUGCUUGAAAUAUACAGCUUGCAUCUGUUCCCCGAAUUGUUACAGGAUCUACUUUGUCGAGCGAACAAUUAACGAAAUUUUUUUUAAGGAGUUUCGCAUGGUUUAGCAUGGCAACAUUGUAUCGCCUGUACCGAAACUCCUUAAAGGUUAUACACAGCCUCUUGUGACAGGCACACUCCCUGUGCUUUUUAUAAACCAAUGAUGUCUCGAGGAAGCCUUGUUACCGGUGAAAAUCACUUGGGAAUGGAAAAAGAAAAACACUUAUUUGAGGCUAACGAGUAAUAACGACAAACGGUGGAAGCUUGACAACCCUGUGCCAGCUGGUUUAAAACAUGGACACGCACAUAAAUAGAAAAUGGCUGUUGUUACAUUUUGCUUGACAAUUUUACCACGAAAGUAUUCAAACCGCUAUCAUUGUAUAAAAAAUUGAUCAAUCUCAACAAUAAAAAAAUAAUUUUAAUAA